rnacentral:rRNA from 1 species
GACGAACGCUGGCGGCGUGCUUAACACAUGCAAGUCGUACGGUAAGGCCCUUUCGGGGGUACACGAGUGGCGAACGGGUGAGUAACACGUGAGUAACCUGCCCACAACUUUGGGAUAACGCUAGGAAACUGGUGCUAAUACUGGAUAUGUGCUUCUGCUGCAUGGUGGGGGUUGGAAAGCUCCGGCGGUUGUGGAUGGACUCGCGGCCUAUCAGCUUGUUGGUGGGGUAGUGGCCUACCAAGGCGGCGACGGGUAGCCGGACAGAGAGGGUGACCGGCCACAUUGGGUCUGAGAUACGGCCCAGACUCCUACGGGAGGCAGCAGUGGGGAAUAUUGAACAAGGGGCGCAAGCCUGAUGCAGCAACGCCGCGUGCGGGAUGACGGCCUUCGGGUUGUAAACCGCUUUCAGCAGGGACGAAGCUUUUUGUGACGGUACCUGCAGAAGAAGCACCGGCUAACUACGUG